rnacentral:rRNA from 1 species
GAUGAACGCUGGCGGCGUGCCUAAUACAUGCAAGUCGAGCGAACAGACGAGGAGCUUGCUCCUCUGACGUUAGCGGCGCACGUGUGAGUAACACGUGUAUCCCCCACCUAUAAGACUGGGAUAACCUCGGGAAACCGGAGCUUACACCGGAUAAUAUAUUGAACCGCAUGGUUCAAUAGUAAAAUACGGCUUUGCCGUCACUUAUGGAUGGAUUCGCGCCUGAUUAGCUAGUUGGUACGGUAACGGCUUACCAAGGCAACGAUGCGUAGCCGGCCUGAGAGGGUGAUCGGCCACACUGGAACUGAGACACGGUCCAGACUCCUACGGGAGGCAGCAGUAGGGAAUCUUGCGCAAUGGGCGAAAGCCUGACGGAGCAACGCCGCGUGAGUGAUGAAGGCCUUCGGGUUGUAAACCGCUUUCGCCUGUGACGAAGCGUGAGUGACGGUAAUGGGUAAAGAAGCACCGGCUAACUACGUG